rnacentral:rRNA from 1 species
UACGGAGGGUGCAAACGUUGCUCGGAAUCAUUGGGCGUAAAGCGCACGUAGGCGGCCUGUUAAGUCGGGUGUGAAAGCCCUGGGCUCAACCCAGGAAGUGCACUCGAAACUGACGGGCUUGAAUAUGGAAGAGGGUCGCGGAAUUCCCGGUGUAGAGGUGAAAUUCGUAGAUAUCUGCAGGAACACCCGUGGCGAAGGCGGCUGACUGGAUCGCAACUGACACUGAGGAACGAAAGCUAGGGGAGCAAACAGG